rnacentral:rRNA from 1 species
CACCAAAGAAUUAAGUCAUAUUUUUACGGUAAAAAGACAGUUAGACUUUAGUGAUUUUGGUUGUUUAAAUAUUUAUAGAAAGGUAAAAUUUGCAUAUAAAUAUAAAAUCUAAUGACAACUUAUAAGUUGAAUCUGUGAAAGCCUUGAGGGAAACUGGGAUUAGAUACCCCAUUAUUCUUGGCUAUAAAUCAAACUAAAAAUUUACCAGGGUACUAUGAACGUAAUAAAUUUAAAACUCAAAGAGCUUGGCGGUAUUUUAGACCACUUAGGGGAACCUGUCUCAUAAUCGAUAAUCCACGUUAUACCUGACCUUUUUUUGUUUUCAGCCUGUAUACCGUUGUCGUCAGGUAACUUCUUAGAAACUAACAGUUAGCUACUAAUGCUAUAAAUUAAAACGUCAAAUCGAGGUGCAGCCCAUAAAAGGGGGAGGAUGGGUUACAAUUAUUUAAUUAUAAUUACGGAAGAUUACAAUAAGAAAUAAUCAUAAAGGAGGACUUAAAAGUAAAUUAAAUUAUAAAAAUAAUUUGAAUAAGGCUCUGAAAUGUGU